rnacentral:rRNA from 1 species
UACGUAGGUGGCAAGCGUUGUUCGGAUUCAUUGGGCGUAAAGGGCGCGUAGGCGGCGGGGUCAGUCGGGUGUGAAAUCUUGGGGCUUAACCCCGAAACGGCACUCGAAACUGCCCGGCUGGAGGGCCGGAGAGGAGAUCGGAAUUCACGGUGUAGCAGUGAAAUGCGUAGAGAUCGUGAGGAAGACCCGUGGCGAAGGCGGAUCUCUGGACGGCUAACUGACGCUGAGGCGCGAAGGCCAGGGGAGCAAACGGG